ensembl:lncRNA
CGAAAGAAGGAAAAGGGAAGGCUCUGCCAUCUAUCUUGGGCCCUUCACAACCACUGGCAAAUUGUAGCAAUCAUCAGCUCCCUCUCUAAUGGUAUUCAAGGCCUGUCACCGCUCCCCCAGCCUCUGAGGCUGGGUGCAAUCUGCCAUUUAGCCACCAAAGAGGAGCGCGUUUCUCAGGCUGUUAAUGGCAAGCUCUCAAGGCAAAGGGAGAGCCGGCUCAUGAAUACCAACAUAACUCUCUCAUAUUGACCUGUCUGCGUUCCCAUAACCUGAGAAGAAAAAAAAACCUGCCCUCCAGGCAUCUAUUCACCACGUCACGUUUUCCUUUUGAAAGUUUUUCAAGGUUAAACAGUGGACAUUUUACUCUCUAAACUCUGAAGCUGUGUGUGUGUGUCAGCUUCCAGUUUGACAGAUGCAGCCACAGUAAUAUCACUGGAUCUCCUUGAGAGAAGCUGUCACCAUAAGCGAAGCAGUCACAGACACCAGCCUGAACCCUCCAUAAACCUUCAAGUGGCUUUGCUUGGAAAACUCAGAACCACACCAACAUUGUGACUUCUUUUAGGCACCAUCAACUGGAAUUCCUUGAAGCCUUUUGCUUCAUUCUCAAUGUUUCUGAAGCAGAGAUCUACACAGAUACUGGACAAACCGUUUACCUAUUGACAGGCUUGGGAGGGCAGCUAUUUUCUUAACGAGGACAUAGAUAUAUAGCAAUUUUUGAAAGAAGAUGCCUUAAGAAUGCAACUGUGAUUUCUUUCCAUGUAAUAAUGCAUAUUCUUAGCUAGUAUAAAGCCACAGGGUACCAUCAAGUUUUGUCAUGUAACUGUUAGAAUACAAUUUCAUAGAACUGAUUCUUCUUCCAAGAGGCUCCCUAUGAAUGCUGCAUGAAACCUAAAUGAUAAUGAUGUAUCCGAUACAUCUCCAUUUUCACAUUUUCUCUGCCAACUACAGAAUCUCUAAUCACAAUUUUUAAACAUCUGUGCCUAAGUUUAGUGUAACUAAAAAAGCAAUGGUGAUGAUAAUAACCAAAGCCAAAAGUGUAUGGUAUACAAAAUUCUGUUUUACUCAGCCUUAUCCAAUUUACUCGUCACAAUCCCCAAUUUCUACUGCCUCGUCAGAAUUCAAUGGCUGCUUUUCCGAAGCUCUAAAGAGAAUCGUAGCGUUGAUUAUCUUUUGGCUGCUGGCAUCUGACUGCUCCACAUUAACUCUAAGAAUUUCCUGCUCAAAGUCAGAUCAUACUUACUUUGGGCUUUAAGUUUUUUUGGUAUUGUUGUUCAUUUGUAAAUUUGACCAACUUUUAUCACGAGUGUGUUCCAGCCUCUGACUGGGUCUCUAAGGUACAAGCCCUGUAACCUCUAGAUAUGACUGCACUUUAACGUGAAUGCCAUAAGCCACUCUCAUCCUGAAGACAAGGCCUAUAGCAGAGAAAUACGGGGGCCAUGCCCCAGGCUCAGUUAAAUGUCAGGAAAACAUAAAUGUGUUCUGCUCCUAUAGCUCAUCAUUCAAACCUCUGUUCAAGCGAGACAUGUUGAUUAGAACUAUUUGUACAAGAGCUUCUUAAAUUCAAAUGAUCUAAAUUAAACAACAACUUCAACCUGCUCAGGUGUUUUGUUUAGUUUCCCUGUAAGUGAAGAGUUUAUUCACAAAGAAUCACAGAAUAACCCGAUGUGGAAGGGUUCAUUGAAACUAACCCCUGGUUUCACACAAGACUGCCCAAAAACAAAC